rnacentral:rRNA from 1 species
AGCAGUCGCCGCGGUAAUACGUAGGUGGCAAGCGUUGUCCGGAAUUAUUGGGCGUAAAGGGCUCGCAGGCGGUUUCUUAAGUCUGAUGUGAAAGCCCCCGGCUCAACCGGGGAGGGUCAUUGGAAACUGGGAAACUUGAGUGCAGAAGAGGAGAGUGGAAUUCCACGUGUAGCGGUGAAAUGCGUAGAGAUGUGGAGGAACACCAGUGGCGAAGGCGACUCUCUGGUCUGUAACUGACGCUGAGGAGCGAAAGCGUGGGGAGCGAACAGGAUUAGAUACCCCCGUAGUCCCUGUCUCUUAUAU